rnacentral:rRNA from 1 species
UACGUAGGGUGCAAGCGUUAAUCGGAAUUACUGGGCGUAAAGCGUGCGCAGGCGGUUUUGUAAGUCAGAUGUGAAAUCCCCGGGCUUAACCUGGGAACUGCGUUUGAGACUACAAGGCUAGAGUGUGACAGAGGGGGGUGGAAUUCCACGUGUAGCAGUGAAAUGCGUAGAGAUGUGGAGGAACACCGAUGGCGAAGGCAGCCCCCUGGGUUAACACUGACGCUCAGGCACGAAAGCGUGGGGAGCAAACAGG